UACGAAGGGGGCUAGCGUUGCUCGGAAUUACUGGGCGUAAAGCGCGCGUAGGCGGCUUGUAAGUUAGAGGUGAAAGCCCGGAGCUUAACUCCGGAACUGCCUUAAGACUGCAUCGCUAGAAUCGUGGAGAGGUGAGUGGAAUUCCGAGUGUAGAGGUGAAAUUCGUAGAUAUUCGGAAGAACACCGAGUGGCGAAGGCGGGUCUCU
rnacentral:rRNA from 1 species